rnacentral:rRNA from 1 species
CAGUCGCCACGGUAAUACGAGGGGGGCAAGCGUUGUUCGGAAUUAUUGGGCGUAAAGGGUGCGUAGGCGGCUUGACAAGUCUUGUGUGAAAUCGCUGGGCUCAACCCAGAGUCUGCACGGGAAACUGUCGGGCUAGAGGAUGGGAGAGGUGAGUGGAAUUUCCGGUGUAGCGGUGAAAUGCGUAGAUAUCGGAAGGAACACCUGUGGCGAAAGCGGCUCACUGGACCAUUUCUGACGCUGAUGCACGAAAGCUAGGGGAGCAAACAGGAUUAGAUACCCCCGUAGUCCCUGUCUCUUAUAC